rnacentral:rRNA from 1 species
UACGGAGGGGGCUAGCGUUGUUCGGAAUUACUGGGCGUAAAGGGCUCGUAGGCGGCCAACUAAGUCGGACGUGAAAUCCCCAGGCUCAACCUGGGAACUGCGUCCGAUACUGGAUGGCUUGAAUUCGGGAGAGGGAUGCAGAAUUCCAGGUGUAGCGGUGAAAUGCGUAGAUAUCUGGAGGAAUACCGGUGGCGAAGGCGGCAUCCUGGACCGACAUUGACGCUGAUGAGCGAAAGCUAGGGGAGCAAACGGG